UAUUGGGCAAUGGGGGUAACCCUGACCCAGCAACGCCGCGUGAAGGAAGAAGGCUUUCGGGUUGUAAACUUCUUUUACCAGGGACGAAGGACGUGACGGUACCUGGAGAAAAAGCUCCGGCUAACUACGUGCCAGCAGCCGCGGUAAUACGUAGGGAGCGAGCGUUGUCCGGAUUUACUGGGUGUAAAGGGCGUGUAGGCGGAGGAGCAAGUCAGAAGUGAAAUCUCCGGGCUUAACCCGGAAACUGCUUUUGAAACUGUUCCCCUUGAGUACUGGAGAGGCAGGCGGAAUUCCUAGUGUAGCGGUGAAAUGCGUAGAUAUUAGGAGGAACACCAGUGGCGAAGGCGGCCUGCUGGACAGCAACUGACGCUGAGGCGCGAAAGCGUGGGGAGCAAACAGG
rnacentral:rRNA from 1 species